rnacentral:rRNA from 1 species
AUUGACAGCUAGCGGCAGGACUAACACAUGCAAGUCGAGCGAUCAGCGGAAGGGGGAGUAAUGUAUGGGGACUGCCCGAUCGAGGGGGAUAACUACGGGAAAGGGUAGCUAAUACAGCAUAAUAUCGGAUCAACCACCUGGGUUUAGAUAGUAGGUGAGGUAAUGGCUCACGUAGGAUACGAUCCCUAGCUGGUCUGCGAGGAUGCUCAGCCACACUGGGACUGAGACACUGCCCAGACACCUACGGAGGCAGCAGGGGGGAAUAUUGCACAAUGGGCGCAAGCCUGAUGCAGCCAGGCCGCGUGUAUGAAGAAGGCCCUAGGGUUGUAAAGUACUUUCAGUCGGUAGGCGUUACCGACAGAAGAAGCACCGGCUAACUCCGUGCCAGCAGCCGCGGUAAUAC